rnacentral:tRNA from 1 species
GCGCUCACUCCAGCAAGUUUUAGUUAAAGUGGUCAUGUGGCUUCGAACCAGAGGGUCGGGAGUUCAAGUCUCUCCGGGCGCGCCA